rnacentral:rRNA from 1 species
CCUACGGGUGGCUGCAGUGAGGAAUAUUGGUCAAUGGACGAGAGUCUGCACCAGCCAAGUAGCGUGCAGGAUGACUGCCCUAUGGGUUGUAAACUUCUUUUAUAUGGGGAUAAAACGUUCUACGUGUGGGAUUUUGUAUGUACCAUAUGAAUAAGGAUCGGCUAACUCCGUGCCAGCAGCCGCGGUAAUACGGAGGAUCCGAGCGUUAUCCGGAUUUAUUGGGUUUAAAGGGAGCGUAGGUGGAUUGUUAAGUCAGUUGUGAAAGUUUGCGGCUCAACCGGAAAAUUGCAGUUGAAACUGGCAGUCUUGAGUACAGUAGAGGUGGGCGGAAUUCGUGGUGUAGCGGUGAAAUGCUUAGAGAUGACGAAGAACUCCGAUUGCGAAGGCAGCUCACUGGACUGCAACUGACGCUGAGGCGCGAAAGUGUGGGUAUCAAACAGGAUUAGAUACCCGUGUAGUC